rnacentral:rRNA from 1 species
GAUGAACGCUAGCGGCAGGCUUAACACAUGCAAGUCGAGGGGCAUCGAGAGUAGCAAUACUUGUCGGCGACCGGCGCAAGGGUGCGUAACACGUGAGCAACAUACCCGUUUCAGGAGGAUAACCGGAGGAAACUCUGCCUAAUACUCCAUGACAUCAUCAAACGGCAUCGUUUGAUGAUUAAAGAUUUAUCGGAAACGGCUUGGCUCGCGGGACAUUAGCUCGUUGGUGAGGUAACGGCUCACCAAGGCGACGAUGUCUAGGGGUUCUGAGAGGAAGGUCCCCCACACUGGAACUGAGACACGGUCCAGACUCCUACGGGAGCAGCAGUGAGGAAUAUUGGACAAUGGUCGGAAGACUGAUCCAGCCAUGCCGCGUGAAGGUUACUGUCCUAUGGAUAUUAAACUUCUUUUGAUGAGAGCAAUAAGGUGCACGUGUGCACCGAUGAGAGUAUCAUACGAAUAAGCAUCGGCUAAC